rnacentral:tRNA from 1 species
GCCCCGGUAGCUCAGCAGGAUAGAGCAGCCGCCUCCUAAGCGGCAGGUCGCAGGUUCGACUCCUGCCCGGGGCACCA